rnacentral:rRNA from 1 species
GAUGAACGCUGGCGGCGUGCCUAAUACAUGCAAGUCGAGCGAACAGAUGAGGAGCUUGCUCCUCUGACGUUAUCGGCGGACGGGUGAGUAACACGUGGAUAACCUACCUAUAAGACUGGGAUAACUUCGGGAAACCGGAGCUAAUACCGGAUAAUAUAUUGAACCGCAUGGUUCAAUAGUGAAAGACGGUUUUGCUGUCACUUAUAGAUGGAUCCGCGCCGCAUUAGCUAGUUGGUAAGGUAACGGCUUACCAAGGCAACGAUUCGUAGCCGACCUGAGAGGGUGAUCGGCCACACGGGAACUGAGACACGGUCCAGACUCCUACGGGAGGCAGCAGUAGGGAAUCUUCCGCAAGGGGCGAAAGCCUGACGGAGCAACGCCGCGUGAGUGAUGAAGGUCUUGGGAUCGUAAAACUCUGUUAUUAGGGAAGAACAAAUGUGUAAGUAAAUAUGCACGUCUUGACGGUACCUAAUCAGAAAGCAACGGCUAACUACGU